rnacentral:rRNA from 1 species
AGCGUACACGGUGGAUGCCCUGGCAGUCAGAGGCGAUGAAGGACGUGCUAAUCUGCGAUAAGCGUCGGUGAGGUGAUAUGAACCGUUAUAACCGGCGAUUUCCGAAUGGGGAAACCCAGUGUGUUUCGACACACUAUCAUUAACUGAAUCCAUAGGUUAAUGAGGCGAACCGGGGGAACUGAAACAUCUAAGUACCCCGAGGAAAAGAAAUCAACCGAGAUUCCCCCAGUAGCGGCGAGCGAACGGGGAGGAGCCCAGAGCCUGAAUCAGUGUGUGUGUUAGUGGAAGCGUCUGGAAAGGCGCGCGAUACAGGGUGACAGCCCCGUACACAAAAAUGCACAUACUGUGAGCUCGAUGAGUAGGGCGGGACACGUGGUAUCCUGUCUGAAUAUGGGGGGACCAUCCUCCAAGGCUAAAUACUCCUGACUGACCGAUAGUGAACCAGUACCGUGAGGGAAAGGCGAAAAGAACCCCGGCGAGGGGAGUGAAAAAGAACCUGAAACCGUGUACGUACAAGCAGUGGGAGCCUCUUAAUGGGGUGACUGCGUACCUUUUGUAUAAUGGGUCAGCGACUUAUAUUCUGUAGCAAGGUUAACCGAAUAGGGGAGCCGAAGGGAAACCGAGUCUUAACUGGGCGCUAAGUUGCAGGGUAUAGACCCGAAACCCGGUGAUCUAGCCAUGGGCAGGUUGAAGGUUGGGUAACACUAACUGGAGGACCGAACCGACUAAUGUUGAAAAAUUAGCGGAUGACUUGUGGCUGGGGGUGAAAGGCCAAUCAAACCGGGAGAUAGCUGGUUCUCCCCGAAAGCUAUUUAGGUAGCGCCUCGUGAAUUCAUCUCCGGGGGUAGAGCACUGUUUCGGCAAGGGGGUCAUCCCGACUUACCAACCCGAUGCAAACUGCGAAUACCGGAGAAUGUUAUCACGGGAGACACACGGCGGGUGCUAACGUCCGUCGUGAAGAGGGAAACAACCCAGACCGCCAGCUAAGGUCCCAAAGUCAUGGUUAAGUGGGAAACGAUGUGGGAAGGCCCAGACAGCCAGGAUGUUGGCUUAGAAGCAGCCAUCAUUUAAAGAAAGCGUAAUAGCUCACUGGUCGAGUCGGCCUGCGCGGAAGAUGUAACGGGGCUAAACCAUGCACCGAAGCUGCGGCAGCGACACUAUGUGUUGUUGGGUAGGGGAGCGUUCUGUAAGCCUGUGAAGGUGGCCUGUGAGGGUUGCUGGAGGUAUCAGAAGUGCGAAUGCUGACAUAAGUAACGAUAAAGCGGGUGAAAAGCCCGCUCGCCGGAAGACCAAGGGUUCCUGUCCAACGUUAAUCGGGGCAGGGUGAGUCGACCCCUAAGGCGAGGCCGAAAGGCGUAGUCGAUGGGAAACAGGUUAAUAUUCCUGUACUUGGUGUUACUGCGAAGGGGGGACGGAGAAGGCUAUGUUGGCCGGGCGACGGUUGUCCCGGUUUAAGCGUGUAGGCUGGUUUUCCAGGCAAAUCCGGAAAACCAAGGCUGAGGCGUGAUGACGAGGCACUACGGUGCUGAAGCGACAAAUGCCCUGCUUCCAGGAAAAGCCUCUAAGCAUCAGGUAACAUCAAAUCGUACCCCAAACCGACACAGGUGGUCAGGUAGAGAAUACCAAGGCGCUUGAGAGAACUCGGGUGAAGGAACUAGGCAAAAUGGUGCCGUAACUUCGGGAGAAGGCACGCUGAUAUGUAGGUGAAGCGACUUGCUCGUGGAGCUGAAAUCAGUCGAAGAUACCAGCUGGCUGCAACUGUUUAUUAAAAACACAGCACUGUGCAAACACGAAAGUGGACGUAUACGGUGUGACGCCUGCCCGGUGCCGGAAGGUUAAUUGAUGGGGUUAGCGGCAACGCGAAGCUCUUGAUCGAAGCCCCGGUAAACGGCGGCCGUAACUAUAACGGUCCUAAGGUAGCGAAAUUCCUUGUCGGGUAAGUUCCGACCUGCACGAAUGGCGUAAUGAUGGCCAGGCUGUCUCCACCCGAGACUCAGUGAAAUUGAACUCGCUGUGAAGAUGCAGUGUACCCGCGGCAAGACGGAAAGACCCCGUGAACCUUUACUAUAGCUUGACACUGAACAUUGAGCCUUGAUGUGUAGGAUAGGUGGGAGGCUUUGAAGUGUGGACGCCAGUCUGCAUGGAGCCGACCUUGAAAUACCACCCUUUAAUGUUUGAUGUUCUAACGUUGGCCCGUAAUCCGGGUUGCGGACAGUGUCUGGUGGGUAGUUUGACUGGGGCGGUCUCCUCCUAAAGAGUAACGGAGGAGCACGAAGGUUGGCUAAUCCUGGUCGGACAUCAGGAGGUUAGUGCAAUGGCAUAAGCCAGCUUGACUGCGAGCGUGACGGCGCGAGCAGGUGCGAAAGCAGGUCAUAGUGAUCCGGUGGUUCUGAAUGGAAGGGCCAUCGCUCAACGGAUAAAAGGUACUCCGGGGAUAACAGGCUGAUACCGCCCAAGAGUUCAUAUCGACGGCGGUGUUUGGCACCUCGAUGUCGGCUCAUCACAUCCUGGGGCUGAAGUAGGUCCCAAGGGUAUGGCUGUUCGCCAUUUAAAGUGGUACGCGAGCUGGGUUUAGAACGUCGUGAGACAGUUCGGUCCCUAUCUGCCGUGGGCGCUGGAGAACUGAGGGGGGCUGCUCCUAGUACGAGAGGACCGGAGUGGACGCAUCACUGGUGUUCGGGUUGUCAUGCCAAUGGCACUGCCCGGUAGCUAAAUGCGGAAGAGAUAAGUGCUGAAAGCAUCUAAGCACGAAACUUGCCCCGAGAUGAGUUCUCCCUGACUCCUUGA